GCCUCGGUCCUUCGCCGUCCCUCGCCGUCCUUCGCCAUCGCAUGCCAUCGCACGCCACCGCACCCCAUCUCUCGAAAUCUGCAGACAUCUUGAUUUUUCCCACGCUGUCUGUCAGGUCUCCGCCGCCACUCGACGCCAGGGCGCCGGGUGAGUCCACAGCAGGGCGCAUGGUCUGCUCCACUCUCACCAUCGGGGGAAACUGAGGCCCCGGGGAAGGCGGCCAGAGAGGUCAGGCCCGGUCCUUGGUGCAGUGUCUCGUCCUCUUUGCCGGAGUGAGCCCCCCAGGAUUCGCGUAUCCUCGGGAAAGACACUGGCGGGCCUUGUGGGCUGUGCUGCACCUCGGACGGCUUCGCACCAGCCAGCGCCCUCUCUCUCCUGCAGCACUCUGAUCUGCACCCCCUGAGGGGCUUCCACUGUCCGCGGGGUGAGAAUGCCCCUGGGAAUGUCACAUGACUGCCGCCCCAUGUGUGUGAGAGGUGUCCUCUGGGAGAGCAUGGAUCCUGAGGUCCCAGGAUUGUCAGCUGACCUCUGUCCUGUGUGCCCAGUGGCCCCAGGU
rnacentral:lncRNA from 1 species